UAAACUUCGUUGAUGAGAACGAGUACGUUCUAGGUUCAUUCCUCAGAGAGCCGGCGGCAGCUGAAAGCCCGGUGAGUGAGCCAUUGCGGAAUAUCCUCUCUGAGAAGCGGCGCCGAACCUGCGAGAGCGGCAAUAAGUGCUGACGGCUGUCCCCCGUUACAGGGAACGCGAACGAUCGUUCGCGACUAAGGUGCCGCAUGAAGCGCAGUUCAAUCGAGCUGAUGGCUUUCAUCCACAUGUUUCUGGAUGGUUUAGAAGCAUAUGCGGAACAAGGGUGGUAACGCGACUAAGCCUCGUCCCUUCU
rnacentral:ncRNA from 1 species